rnacentral:rRNA from 1 species
UUUUCCGGUUGAUCCUGCCAGAGGCCAUUGCUAUCAGGGUUUGACUAAGCCAUGCGAGUCGAGAGGUGUAAGACCUCGGCAUACUGCUCAGUAACACGUGGUUAACCUGCCCUAAGGUGGAGAAUACUCCCGGGAAACUGGGGCUAAUGCUCCAUAGUGGAUAUGUCCUGGAAUGGUAUAUCCUCGAAAGAUCCGUCGCCUUAGGAUGGGACUGCGUCCGAUUAGGUUGUUGGCGGGGUAACGGCCCACCAAGCCAUUGAUCGGUACGGGUUGUGGGAGCAAGAUCCCGGAGAUGGAUUCUGAGACAUGAAUCCAGGCCCUACGGGGCGCAGCAGGCGCGCAAACUUUACAAUGCGAGCAAUCGUGAUAAGGAAACCCUGAGUGCCUGUCGAUGCAGGCUGUUCAUAUAUCUAAAUCAUAUGUGAAGAAAGGGCAGGGCAAGACCGGUGCCAGCCGCCGCGGUAAUACCGGCUGCUCGAGUGAUGGCCACUAUUACUGGGUUUAAAGCGUCCGUAGCUUGACUGUUAGGUCUCUUGGGAAAUCUUCACGCUCAACGUGAAGGCGUCUAAGAGAUACCGGCAGUCUUGGAACUGGGAGAGGUAAACCGUACUUCGGGGGUAGGAGUGAAAUCUUGUAAUCCUCGAGGGACGACCUAUGGCGAAGGCAGUUUACCAGAACAGCUUCGACAGUGAGGGACGAAAGCUGGGGGAGCAAACGGGAUUAGAUACCCCGGUAGUCCCAGCCGUAAACAAUGUGCGUUAGGUGUGUCGGUAACCACGUGUUACUGAUGCGCCGAAGAGAAAUCGUGAAACGCACCACCUGGGAAGUACGGUCGCAAGGCUGAAACUUAAAGGAAUUGGCGGGA